rnacentral:rRNA from 1 species
UUGUCUCAAAGCUUAAGCCAUGCAAGUCUCAGUACAAACCGAACUAAGGUGAAACCGCAAACGGCUCAUUAAAUCAGUUUUAGUUUACUUGAGCGUAAACUAUCCGUUUUUGGAUAACUGUGGCAAUUCUAGAGCUAAUACAUGCAACCGAGUCCUGACCAGUGAUGGAAGGGGCGCUUUUAUUAGAUCAAAAUCAAUCGGCCGUCCGGUCCGUUUGACUUGAUGACUCUGAAUAACACAGCGGAUCGCACGGUCUCCGUACCGGCGACUCAUCUUUCAAAUGCCUGACUUAUCAACUGUCGAUGGUAGAUUCUACGUCUACCAUGGUUGUAACGGGUGACGGGGAAUCAGGGUUCGAUUCCGGAGAGGGAGCCUGAGAAACAGCUACCACAUCCAAGGAAGGCAGCAGGCACGCAAAUUACCCACUCCCGGCACGGGGAGGUAGUGACAAAAAAUAACGAUACGGGACUCAUCCGAGGCCCCGUAAUCGGAAUGAGAACACUCUAAAUCA